GGAAGGAUCUUUUUCUGGAGGUCCUUCCUUGGUGAAGCUUUCCCCUGCAAACCUGAAAUCUUCUGAUUCGGCAGUACUCACGGGGAAGGCACAACUUCAACUUCCAUUAUAUGGAUAGCUUGACAUUUUGAUUCAGAGCGAAUGAAAGCAUUUAGGAAUUCACCUAUUAAAAUAGUUCUGGCUCAUGCUGGCAAUCUUACUAUGAGUUUCAGAAGAGAAAUACAUGUUGGUCUAUAAAAACGAAAUCCAUACUUUUUUCUGCCCUAAAGAAUCACAGAACCUCAGGGGCUGGAAGGGACCUCUGGAGAUCAUCCAGUCCGAACUCCUGCUAGUGCAGCUCCCUACAGUAGGUUGCACAGGAAAGAUCUGAGAAGCUGUGAGAACUGAUGAAUGUCAGUGCCAAAGGGAGAUAAAGGGAAGAGUUGAACAGCAGGGGAAGAUCUUCUGGACGUGUUUUGAAAGCUGUAACCCUGAUGACUUACUCCAUCUGAUCUGUGAUAUUUAAAGCAUCUUUUUGCUUAGAGAGAGGAAUGCGGGGUUAGAUAAGAGGUAGUUAAGAUAAUAACAGUGACCCAGGUUGCUUGGGCUUGGGCCUGUUCCUACAAGGGAUAUUUGAACGUCACAUUACAGAUUCAGAGAGAAGCAGAGGUCGUUUGGAUGGUGCAUCACCUCCUGGAGACACUGUGACAUGCCCCAGGACAUGGGAAGGUAAGAGAUGGCCCUGCAGCACAGAAGGGCUCGACCAGGCUGUGGAGCAGAAGCCACAGCUCCUUUGUCACUGCCCUGUGAACAGAAAGGACAGAGCAAGGACCUAUGGCUGAUGGCAGACAGGCACAAGACAGAAUUAAGCAGCACAUUUAUCACAGUGAAGUGAUUAGCCGCUGGAGCAUACAACCAAGGAAAUGGUGAACACAGGGGAUGGGGCACACAGCGAGACCAGGAGGAGACGUGAGAGUUGGAUGCAGUCAGGUCAUCUGAUAAUAUCCUGUUCUUAUACUACUGGAAAGAGUGCAAUGAAUUGGAUUUCAUCACCUUCAUAAACCUGGAUGAACAG
rnacentral:lncRNA from 7 species